rnacentral:lncRNA from 1 species
CCCUGAGAUGGGCCUUCACUACUGAUUAGUAAUGAGAAGUCUUGACAUUAGUCACAAGUGCAGAAAGAGACUGUGCUGUUCUGGGAUCCUGGGAACUGAGUGCUUUCCUUGGAGGCUCUGGCAGAAAGCUGAAUGCUAAAUGAAUUGAUCCAGAGAUCUCAGAAGAUGUUCUAAAUAUCUUCGUGUCAAACACAAGACUGGCCAAACCAAAAGGACUUGUGAUACAUGUCCAGGAAAGAACAUAUAUACAAUAUAUAUGCAAGACCAAUAUAG